UUGAGUACCAACUACGUUCCUGGCAUGAGUCAUUCAAGGAAUGUCCAAUCUAGUAGGCAGACGGACAUAAAAGCAAAUAAUUGAGAUUGGAAGUAUGGUAUAUCAAGGUACACAGGGUAAUGAAUGGAUGGCUUUACUAACUGUAGGUUAGAGUUUUCAAGAUAAAUGGGCAUUUUUCCACUACAAAAAUAGGGGUGGGAUGGCAAAUCCAGAUCUGAACAGAGAGGAAAUCCAGCACGGGGACAAAUAAUAUGUUGAGAAGCAUGAGUAAUAAUUACAGGUCUUAAAGUUCAAACUUAGGUUGCUGAAAAAGAUGAGGCUGGAGAAGACAGCAGGAGCCAAAUCAUGGAUCAUCUAUGCCCUGGUACUGACCUAAGGGCCAAGAUACAAAGUCAAGUGAGAGACAGAGUAUAUCUUAAAGGAACAGAUUAUUUAAUGGGGAAGAGAGCUCAAUUAUUAAGAACAGAUAUC